UGCUUCGAAUGUGCACUCGCGCUUUUCGUCCAGUUUGCACUCGAUAUACGCGUACAUACUCGUAUGAGAUAAGCUUUUGAGCUCAGAUUUAGUAGAGCAGUGCCGAUUGCGGUUUAUCUGUUGUACACAUUUUGUGGUUAAGAAAUUGUAUCAUUACUAAAACCGCCUAUGGGCUAGAGGGAUCAUCGGCCCAUAUUUCUUCAAAGACAAGGCUCAUGCCAAUGUAGCAGUGAAUGGCAGACAAGACGGCGGACGGCGCUACUUGCUAUACAACCUGUGAAACAAUGGAUUUACUGCGCCCCCAAGAUCGUGUGAUUUCUCACCUUUGGUCUUUUAAUUGUUGGGAUGUGUUAUUCAGUACUAAAUUCAUUCACGAGAUGCCGACCGAAGUCCCCCGUGAGUCGCGAGUUAUUCAAAAUUGGUGUUUACGGGUGGCCGGAUUGUGGCGCAUUGCGCCCAAUUUUUGAAAGGGGUUAUGGAUUUUUUUU